AUUUUUUAGAAAUAAUUAAAAAUGAGCUCUGCUCAAUGCUCUGGUCAAUAGCCGCAGUAUUCUGACUGUGCAAAGGUAGCAUAAUAAUUAGUCUUAUAAUUGAAGACUGGAAUGAAAGAGUUAACUUAAGAGAAAUUUUUUCUUAUAUUCACAUCUAACCUCACUUUUUAGUAAAAAGGCUAAAAUACUUCUUAAAGACAAGAAGACCCUAUAAAACUUUACACAACCAUAUUUAUAAAAUAAACCUUGUGUUCAGCUGGGGCGGCAAAGAAUACCAACACUCUUAAAAAUUAUUAAUCUUAAUUUAAAUACCUAGAAAUUCUAAAAAUUAAAUAAGCUACUUUAGGGAUAACAGCGUUAUACAUCUACAGAGACCUAAUCGACAGAUGUAAUUGCGACCUCGAUGUUGGAUUACAAAACCUGUUUUCUGCAGAAGGAAAAUAAGCAGGUCUGUUCGACCUUUAAAUUUGUCCA
rnacentral:rRNA from 1 species